UGGGGAAUCUUGCGCAAUGGGCGAAAGCCUGACGCAGCCAUGCCGCGUGGAUGAUGAAGGUCUUAGGAUUGUAAAAUCCUUUCACCGGUGAAGAUAAUGACUGUAGCCGGAGAAGAAGCCCCGGCUAACUUCGUGCCAGCAGCCGCGGUAAUACGAAGGGGGCUAGCGUUGCUCGGAAUUACUGGGCGUAAAGGGAGCGUAGGCGGACAUUUAAGUCAGGGGUGAAAUCCCAGAGCUCAACUCUGGAACUGCCCUUGAUACUGGGUGUCUUGAGUGUGAUAGAGGUAUGUGGAACUCCGAGUGUAGAGGUGAAAUUCGUAGAUAUUGGAAAGAACACCGGUGGCGAAGGCGGCCAUCUGGGCCAUUACUGACGCUGAGAUACGAAAGCGUGGGGAGCAAACGGGAUUAGAUACCCCCGUAGUCCCUGAGCGGGCUGGCAAGGCGCAU
rnacentral:rRNA from 1 species